rnacentral:rRNA from 1 species
CAGCCGCCGCGGGAAUACGAAGGGGGCUAGCGUUGCUCGGAAUCACUGGGCGUAAAGGGUGCGUAGGCGGGUUUUUAAGUCAGAGGUGAAAUCCUGGAGCUCAACUCCAGAACUGCCUUUGAUACUGAAAGUCUUGAGUAUGGGAGAGGUGAGUGGAACUGCGAGUGUAGAGGUGAAAUUCGUAGAUAUUGGGAAGAACACCAGUGGCGAAGGCGGCUCACUGGACCGACACUGACGCUGAGGCGCGAAAGCGUGGGGAGCAAACAGGAUUAGAGACCCGGGUAGUCCCUGUCUCUUAUAC